GGGUUGUGAGGUUAAGCGACUAAGCGUACACGGUGGAUGCCCUGGCAGUCAGAGGCGAUGAAGGACGUGCUAAUCUGCGAAAAGCGUCGGUAAGGUGAUAUGAACCGUUACAGCCGGCGAUGUCCGAAUGGGGAAACCCAGUGUGAUUCGUCACACUAUCGUUAACUGAAUACAUAGGUUAACGAGGCGAACCGGGGGAACUGAAACAUCUAAGUACCCCGAGGAAAAGAAAUCAACCGAGAUUCCCCCAGUAGCGGCGAGCGAACGGGGAGCAGCCCAGAGUCUGAAUCAGCUUGUGUGUUAGUGGAACGGUCUGGAAAGUCCGACGGUACAGGGUGAUAGUCCCGUACACCAAAAUGCACAGGUUGUGAACUCGAAGAGUAGGGCGGGACACGUGGUAUCCUGUCUGAAUAUGGGGGGACCAUCCUCCAAGGCUAAAUACUCCUGACUGACCGAUAGUGAACCAGUACCGUGAGGGAAAGGCGAAAAGAACCCCGGCGAGGGGAGUGAAAAAGAACCUGAAACCGUGUACGUACAAGCAGUGGGAGCACCUUCGGGUGUGACUGCGUACCUUUUGUAUAAUGGGUCAGCGACUUAUAUUCUGUAGCAAGGUUAACCGUAUAGGGGAGCCGCAGGGAAACCGAGUCUUAACUGGGCGUUAAGUUGCAGGGUAUAGACCCGAAACCCGGUGAUCUAGCCAUGGGCAGGUUGAAGGUUGGGUAACACUAACUGGAGGACCGAACCGACUAAUGUUGAAAAAUUAGCGGAUGACUUGUGGCUGGGGGUGAAAGGCCAAUCAAACCGGGAGAUAGCUGGUUCUCCCCGAAAGCUAUUUAGGUAGCGCCUCGUGAACUCAUCUUCGGGGGUAGAGCACUGUUUCGGCUAGGGGGUCAUCCCGACUUACCAACCCGAUGCAAACUACGAAUACCGAAGAAUGUUAUCACGGGAGACACACGGCGGGUGCUAACGUCCGUCGUGAAGAGGGAAACAACCCAGACCGCCAGCUAAGGUCCCAAAGUCACAGUUAAGUGGGAAACGAUGUGGGAAGGCACAGACAGCCAGGAUGUUGGCUUAGAAGCAGCCAUCAUUUAAAGAAAGCGUAAUAGCUCACUGGUCGAGUCGGCCUGCGCGGAAGAUGUAACGGGGCUAAACUGUGCACCGAAGCUGCGGCAGCGACACUAUGUGUUGUUGGGUAGGGGAGCGUUCUGUAAGCCUGCGAAGGUGGCCUGUGAGGGUUGCUGGAGGUAUCAGAAGUGCGAAUGCUGACAUAAGUAACGAUAAUGCGGGUGAAAAGCCCGCACGCCGGAAGACCAAGGGUUCCUGUCCAACGUUAAUCGGGGCAGGGUGAGUCGACCCCUAAGGCGAGGCCGAAAGGCGUAGUCGAUGGGAAACAGGUUAAUAUUCCUGUACUUGGUGUUACUGCGAAGGGGGGACGGAGAAGGCUAUGUUAGCCGGGCGACGGUUGUCCCGGUUUAAGCAUGUAGGCGGAGGUUCCAGGUAAAUCCGGUACCUUUUAACGCUGAGGUGUGAUGACGAGGCACUACGGUGCUGAAGUAACAAAUGCCCUGCUUCCAGGAAAAGCCUCUAAGCAUCAGGUAACAUUGAAUCGUACCCCAAACCGACACAGGUGGUCAGGUAGAGAAUACCAAGGCGCUUGAGAGAACUCGGGUGAAGGAACUAGGCAAAAUGGUGCCGUAACUUCGGGAGAAGGCACGCUGAUAUGUAGGUGAAGCCCCUGCGGGUGGAGCUGAAAUCAGUCGAAGAUACCAGCUGGCUGCAACUGUUUAUUAAAAACACAGCACUGUGCAAACACGAAAGUGGACGUAUACGGUGUGACGCCUGCCCGGUGCCGGAAGGUUAAUUGAUGGGGUUAUCCGUAAGGAGAAGCUCUUGAUCGAAGCCCCGGUAAACGGCGGCCGUAACUAUAACGGUCCUAAGGUAGCGAAAUUCCUUGUCGGGUAAGUUCCGACCUGCACGAAUGGCGUAAUGAUGGCCAGGCUGUCUCCACCCGAGACUCAGUGAAAUUGAACUCGCUGUGAAGAUGCAGUGUACCCGCGGCAAGACGGAAAGACCCCGUGAACCUUUACUAUAGCUUGACACUGAACAUUGAGCCUUGAUGUGUAGGAUAGGUGGGAGGCUUUGAAGCGUGGACGCCAGUCUGCGUGGAGCCAACCUUGAAAUACCACCCUUUAAUGUUUGAUGUUCUAACGUUGGCCCCUUAUCGGGGUUGCGGACAGUGUCUGGUGGGUAGUUUGACUGGGGCGGUCUCCUCCCAAAGAGUAACGGAGGAGCACGAAGGUUAGCUAAUCCUGGUCGGACAUCAGGAGGUUAGUGCAAUGGCAUAAGCUAGCUUGACUGCGAGCGUGACGGCGCGAGCAGGUGCGAAAGCAGGUCAUAGUGAUCCGGUGGUUCUGAAUGGAAGGGCCAUCGCUCAACGGAUAAAAGGUACUCCGGGGAUAACAGGCUGAUACCGCCCAAGAGUUCAUAUCGACGGCGGUGUUUGGCACCUCGAUGUCGGCUCAUCACAUCCUGGGGCUGAAGUAGGUCCCAAGGGUAUGGCUGUUCGCCAUUUAAAGUGGUACGCGAGCUGGGUUUAGAACGUCGUGAGACAGUUCGGUCCCUAUCUGCCGUGGGCGCUGGAGAAUUGAGGGGGGCUGCUCCUAGUACGAGAGGACCGGAGUGGACGCAUCACUGGUGUUCGGGUUGUCAUGCCAAUGGCAUUGCCCGGUAGCUAAAUGCGGAAGAGAUAAGUGCUGAAAGCAUCUAAGCACGAAACUUGCCCCGAGAUGAGUUCUCCCUGAGACUUUAAGUCUCCUGAAGGAACGUUAAAGACGAUGACGUUGAUAGGUCGGGUGUGUAAGCGUAGCGAUACGUUGAGCUAACCGAUACUAAUGAACCGUGAGGCUUAACCUUACAACGCCGAAGGUGUUU
rnacentral:rRNA from 1 species